rnacentral:rRNA from 1 species
AGUGAACGCUGGCGGUAGGCCUAACACAUGCAAGUCGAACGGCAGCACAGUAAGAGCUUGCUCUUACGGGUGGCGAGUGGCGGACGGGUGAGGAAUACAUCGGAAUCUACUUUUUCGUGGGGGAUAACGUAGGGAAACUUACGCUAAUACCGCAUACGACCUACGGGUGAAAGCAGGGGAUCUUCGGACCUUGCGCGAUUGAAUGAGCCGAUGUCGGAUUAGCUAGUUGGCGGGGUAAAGGCCCACCAAGGCGACGAUCCGUAGCUGGUCUGAGAGGAUGAUCGGCGACACUGGAACUGAGACACGGUCCAGACUCCUACGGGAGGCAGCAGUGGGGAAUAUUGGACAAUGGGCGCAAGCCUGAUACAGCCAGACCGAGUGGGUGAAGAAGGCCUUCGGGUUGUAAAGCCGUUUUGUUGGGAAAGAAAAGCAGCAGGUUAAUACCCAGCUGUUCUGACGGUACCCAAAGAAUAAGCACCGGCUAACUUCGUG